ensembl:lncRNA
AGAUCUUUGAGAGGAUUCUGAGGUAAUGAAAAUGUCUUGUGAAACAAUUUGUUUAGCUCUUCAGCGGUACAAAGCACCCAUGUUACAGGUUUGUAGACAGUGAGAGAUAGAAAGGUAGCCAGAGUAGUCAACACCUUUUCAAUCUGGGUUAAAACAAAGGACCAGGUUGAUGCACUGGUUUCAUUUCUCUCAAUCCCAAGCUUGUUUUCAAGAUCUGGUAAAAGAGAGUUUAUGCCACUUAAUGGUCUCUUUAUAGCCAGGAAGAUUUUGCAUUUUAGACUUAGACGAACUGUUGAUAGAAUGAAGGAGGUUAGAACUCUGACUAGUUCUACUGAACCAGUGAAACAUUCAUCACCCACACAGGAAAAUAUUCCCUUAUGGCUGAAAGAUGGAAGGGAUGUAGUUUAAUGAGGUGUGAGUACUAUAUGGAAGUGGAAAUACACUGCUGAAAGGUAUGAGGCUACUUGUGUUGAUAUUAUGAAGAAUAUUUUGUCAUUGAUAUGAAUCACAUUUCUCAUAAUGCCAUUCCCAUUCUUUAGAAGGGACUGGGAAAGAUACUGUAUUUUAUUUGGCCUUUGGGAUACUGAGAGAAUCUGUCUGGUGAGCAAACUCAUUUACAAAAGCUUACCAGGACUGCAAUCUUAGAGUGAGCUUAAUUAAGCUUAGGGAAGGCAUUAUCAAAUGAUAAUUUUGUCUCUCUUGUUUCUUCUUCUCUCAGCCUCUGCAGUUCUCAAACCCACAAGUCUCUGGAGAACAGCCUGUUCCAGCUGUACAUUUUAUACCUUGGUGCAAUAUGCGAUAGAAAGAGGAUCAUUAUAUUUAAAGCAACCAGUUCUACACGUAGUGUUUGCAUGGAUCACACACCAUUAUUUUUUUCCCCAUGAAACACAGUACUUAUUUCAAUCUGAUUUCUUGCCUUUAACUCAAAAGGCAUCUUCCUCAAAUCACAGCAAGCUGAAGCAAGCAUUUUUCCUAGUAGUGCUCUCUGUAAACAAAUUCCCAUGUCUUUUCCACCAGAGAUAUUAAGAUCUGAAGAAUCAACUUGAAAUGCCUGAUGAAGAAAUGGUGUAUUUCUAAUGCUCUCUUUCAUCUCCCCUUCCCUCUUUUAAUUGCCCUGGCACAGAAGCAGUCUGUGUGGAGAUGCAGAGUGAAAUUAUGUGUCGAGAUGCAGAGUGAAAUUCCUUCAAAAACUAAGAAAUAGAACUGCUGAGAGAAAUUUCAACAGAGUGUUGGAGUAUGUGGUUCCAUUAAAAUGCUUUGCAAAGUUGGGUUGAUUUCACCAGUAUUUUGUUUCAGAAGAAAACUAUCCCAUUUUGACAUCUUCAGAACAAACAUUCAGAUUUUUCAUUUUGAAACAACUUUUCAUUUCGAAUGUUUUUAUGUUUGAAUGAAUUUCUAUGUUUGAAUAUAAAUGCUUAGAAUUAAUGUCGUGAAACCCAUCUUAAGCAUCCACUCAAGAGAUCAACAAAAUCAAUUGGUUAAGGGAAGUGGAGAAAAAUUUUUUCUCAGUAGUCCAGAUUCUAAUUUACACUAAAGAUCACAUACAUUACAUUCCUUUAAGGCCCAUUUACACUGCCAGAGUGUCAUAAAGGGGCCUUAGUAUAAAUAUGACUCUGGCCAAGUUUGAGGAUACUUUGGGAUGGACGCUUAAGACAAGAGUCUUGCCUAAGAAGGUCAUUCCCAUGUUCAGAUCUCAUGGUAUGAAUUUUUUAAAAUGGAAAUUAGUUAGUGAAUUUUAAUUACUGAACAAAUUUGAACAUGUAAAGCCCUAUUGGCUUGCUUUUCAAAGGUUCUGUGCACCUACAGUUCCCAUUAUCUUCAAGUGCUAUAUACAGUUGUCAGUGCGAAGUGCUCAUUAAUUAUUAUUAUUAUCAUCAGAUUAUUGUAUUAGUAAUACGGUCACAUUGCUUUUUGCUAUAUACUCUUUCUUCCUUCAAGGAAUAAGCAUACAUUUCAUGGACUCCUGUAUCUCACUGUUUUGACUGAGGAAUGUUACUGUAUAUUCCUUACAACAGACUGAGGCAUUUGUAAAGUUUCACAUCUAUCUAAUUUCCAGCAUAUGAACAAAACUCUCAGGAUUAGGGGUUGAAAUGCAUGUACUUCUUCUAGCCAGUUGAAUAAUGAAAAACACUCUUAAUUAUUUCCAGCCUCCAUAGUGGUGUACAGUGUAAUUAACUAUGAUGUGCAUUUCACAGCCAAUUAGAGACUAUUGUAGCACCAAACUAAUUGGACACAAUAGCACCUCUGAAGGGCAAUAAAACAAGUUUAUCACCAGCA